GUACUUAUUUCAGCAGCACAUAUACUAAAAUUGGAAUGAUACAGAGAUUAGUAUGACUCCAGCACAAAGAUGAUAUGCAAAUUCAUAAAGCAUCCUAUAUAUAU
ensembl:snRNA U6 U6 spliceosomal RNA